rnacentral:rRNA from 1 species
CCUACGUGCGGCAGCAGUGGGGGAUAUUGCACAAUGGGGGAAACCCUGAUGCAGCGAUGCCGCGUGAGUGAAGACGGCCUUCGGGUUGUAAAGCUCUGUCGCAGAGGACGAAAAUGACGGUCCUCUGUAAGAAAGCUCCGGCUAACUACGUGCCAGCAGCCGCGGUAAUACGUAGGGAGCAAGCGUUGUCCGGAAUUACUGGGGGUAAAGGGAGCGUAGGCGGGAGGAUAAGUUGAAUGUGAAAUCUAUGGGCUCAAGCUAUAGCUGCGUUCAAAACUGUUCUUCUUGAGUGAAGUAGAGGAAGGCGGAAUUCCUAGUGUAGCGGUGAAAUGCGUAGAUAUUAGGAGGAACACCAGUGGCGAAGGCGGCCUGCUGGGCUUUUACUGACGCUGAGGCUCGAAAGCGUGGGUAGCAAACAGGAUUAGAUACCCGGGUAGUC